GACGAACGCUGGCGGCGUGCCUAAUACAUGCAAGUCGAGCGAAGUUUUUCUGGUGCUUGCACUAGAAAAACUUAGCGGCGAACGGGUGAGUAACACGUAAAGAACCUGCCUCAUAGACUGGGACAACUAUUGGAAACGAUAGCUAAUACCGGAUAACAGUAUUUCUCGCAUGAGAGAUAUUUAAAAGUUGGUUAUGCUAACACUAUGAGAUGGCUUUGCGGUGCAUUAGCUAGUUGGUGGGGUAAAGGCCCACCAAGGCGACGAUGCAUAGCCGACCUGAGAGGGUGAUCGGCCACACUGGGACUGAGACACGGCCCAGACUCCUACGGGAGGCCGCAGUAGGGAAUCUUCCGCAAUGGGCGAAAGCCUGACGGAGCAACGCCGCGUGAGUGAAGAAGGAUUUCGGUUCGUAAAACUCUGUUGUUAGGGAAGAAUGGAUAUGUAGUAACUAUACAUGUAAGAGACGGUACCUAACCAGAAAGCCACGGCUAACUACGUG
rnacentral:rRNA from 1 species